rnacentral:rRNA from 1 species
UACGUAGGGGGCAAGCGUUGUCCGGAAUCAUUGGGCGUAAAGAGCGUGUAGGCGGCCCGGUAAGUCCGCUGUGAAAGUCCAGGGCUCAACCCUGGGAUGCCGGUGGAUACUGUCGGGACUCGAGUCCGGAAGAGGCGAGUGUGGAAUUCCUGGUGUAGCGGUGAAAUGCGCAGAAUAUCAGGAGGAACACCAAUGGCGAAGGC